rnacentral:misc_RNA from 1 species
GAUGAAGAACGUAGCAAAAUGCGAUAAGUAAUGUGAACUGCAGAAUUCAGUGAAUCAUCGAAUCUUUGAACGCACAUUGCGCCCGCCAGUAUUCUGGCGGGCAUGCCUGUUCGAGCGUCAUUUCAACCCUCAAGCACAGCUUGGUGUUGGGACUCGCGUUAAUUCGCGUUCCCCAAAUUGAUUGGCGGUCACGUCGAGCUUCCAUAGCGUAGUAGUAAAACCCUCGUUACUGGUAAUCGUCGCGGCCACGCCGUUAAACCCCAACUUCUGAAUGUUGACCUCGGAUCAGGUAGGAAUACCCGCUGAACUUAAGCAUAUCAAUAAGCGGAGGA